UCUGCUCUUUUUGGGCUGUUUCUGCACCUUCUGGAACCUUCUCUGAACCUUCCGGGACCUUCCAGAAAUUUCUGGGAUUUUUUGGGGAUUUUUUUCUCAGAAAUUCUGCUCUUUCUAUGCAUCUUUCAGGACCUGUCUGGGCGCUUUUUGGGCUGUUUUUCGGCUCUUUCUGCACCUUCCAGGACCUUUUCUGAACCUUCUCUGAACCUUCUGGGACCUUUCCAAAUUUUCUGGGAUUUUUUGGGAUUUUUUUCCCGGAAUUUUGGGGCUUUUUAUGUACCUUCCAGGACCUGUCUCUGCUAUUUCUGGGCUUUUUUGGGACCUUCCAGGACCUUCUCUGCACCUUCUGGAACCUUCUCUGAACCUUCCGGAGCCUUCCCGAAUUUUCUGGGAUUUUUUGGGAAUUUUCUGGGAUUUUUUUCCUGGAAUUUUGGGGCUUUUUAUGUACCUUCCAGGACCUGUCUGGGCUCUUUUUGGGCUAUUGCUGCACCUUCCAGGACCUUUUCUGAACCUUUCUGUA
rnacentral:lncRNA from 1 species